rnacentral:tRNA from 1 species
GUUGAGAUGGUCGAGUUGGUCAAAGGUGUUAAAUUAAGGAUUUGGUCUGAAACGGGUGGGUUUAAAUCUCACUCUCACCA